rnacentral:rRNA from 1 species
AGAGUUUGAUCCUGGCUCAGGAUGAACGCUAGCUACAGGCUUAACACAUGCAAGUCGAGGGGCAGCAUCAUCAAAGCUUGCUUUGAUGGAUGGCGACCGGCGCACGGGUGAGUAACACGUAUCCAACCUGCCGACAACACUGGGAUAGCCUUUCGAAAGAAAGAUUAAUACCGGAUGGCAUAAUUAUUCCGCAUGGGAUAAUUAUUAAAGAAUUUCGGUUGUCGAUGGGGAUGCGUUCCAUUAGGCAGUUGGCGGGGUAACGGCCCACCAAACCUACGAUGGAUAGGGGUUCUGAGAGGAAGGUCCCCCACAUUGGAACUGAGACACGGUCCAAACUCCUACGGGAGGCAGCAGUGAGGAAUAUUGGUCAAUGGACGAGAGUCUGAACCAGCCAAGUAGCGUGAAGGAUGACUGCCCUAUGGGUUGUAAACUUCUUUUAUACGGGAAUAAAGUGAGCCACGUGUGGCUUUUUGUAUGUACCGUAUGAAUAAGGAUCGGCUAACUCCGUGCCAGCAGCCGCGGUAAUACGG